UCGCUGUGCAGACAGCACUGUGUGGGCACCCCCCCCCCCCCCCCCCCUGUUAUCCUUAAUCUUGUUGGAGAGGAGGAGUUGGGGGGUCCUUUUGUCUCGGCCUGGCACUGAGUUAGUGCUUGCUAGCAGUGCAGACUUCCUGCACCUCCUGGCUGAUGGAAAACUAUUUCGACCCCUACUCACAUCUAAGAGGAAGGCGUGACAUCGUGUACUUUCAACAUUGGGGUCAGUAUCUUCAGCAUUUCUUUUUAGGUCGCUUACUUCACCUAUCAGCCGUUCACCUUUUCCCCCAUUAUUUCCUGUACUGUACUUGAGGACCAAAGAAUCUCUUUAUUGCACUACAUUCCAUUUUCAACAGUGGUUGUGUAAAGCUUGUGCGCUGUGCUCGCUAACCGUGUAGUAAGUUGCUGUUAAAAAAGCUUUUUUUCAAUGCUUUGUUGCGGCAGUUGUGCGGAAAGCAAAUAAGGAGCUGCCUGAUAAGAGUGUAUUUAAUGUCCAACCUCACAAGUAGCUUUGGUGUUUUUAGUUGUGUGGGAGGAUUUGGUCUUGGUAAUUAUAAAGCACUCCUUCACCGUGUAGUCCUUAUGUACUGUCUCCUAAAUGAAGUGAAUUGACAGCUUACAUAGAAAGUAGUCUGAUAUUUAAUUACCUCUGUAAUGACGAAAACUUUGUGUAGUUCUUCAGAAAUGUUGCUGCAAAAGGGUGCUCGUGUGAUAGUCCACUUGAGCACGGCAUUGAAACGUGCACAUGCUGGAGGCUAUAUUUGUAAAUAAAUAUGUUUCCUAUUUCAUGGAAGCAUUUUCUUAGCUCUUUGACAGUCGGGUUACGUAAAUUUGUGCUUAAUUGAGAGACACCAACUGUUGUAGUGUAGUUCAUCAUCAGCCUAUAUUUAUGUCCACAGCAGGAUGAAGGCCUCUCCCUGCGAUCUCUAAUUACCCCUGUCUUGCGCUAGCUGAUUAGUGUAGUACUGGUCUGCAAGCAAAACAAAAUAGAGGUAUCGUUUCGUGACGUUGAACCUAAUUUGUCUUGCAUUUGGUUGAGUGGAACCCUGCAAGGGGCUCUAGCCAUCAUACAUAGCAGCUGGAUGAUCUUGACUUUAUGCAAGUUUCUUUAUACGAGUUUGCAGCUGCAGCUGUAUUGAGUUCAUUUGUGGGCACCUACUUCUAAGCACAUGUGCACAUAAGUGUGAACAGCUGAUGCCUACAUGGCUCCUUGCAGGUCAAAUUGAAAACACUUCCAGAUGGCACUGGGACGUUGCCUACACAGUUCUGCUUCCUGUAUCAGUCUAUUGUGUUAAAGUUUCAGCCUUAAUUCCAGUGUGUCGUGUUUGGCAUGUACUGCGCACAGCACAAUGAAGAGUAGAAUCCUCUUUAUUGUUAGAUGGGCAUUGCUUCACUUUGUCGCAGAUAGUGCACUGUAGGUAGUGCUCAGUGUAUUUUCAUUUUUAAAUGAUUUUGUAGUGUGCUCGAAUGUCACACUACGAAGCUAAUAAAGAGCAGUACCAGAAGGGGUCAGGAUGCCACUGAAGACUGUGCGACUUACGUGCCCAGGCAACUACUACCAUUGCUCACAAGCAUUGACUCUUAAACCAAGCAGCAAUUCAAAAAUAUUGCUGUCGUCGUCUCGCAGUGCAUCAAUUGUGCGCUUUAGGUAAGUGUGUGAUGCACCAUACAUCAGCACUAGCAAACACCUCCACAACACCCUUUUUUUUUUUUUGUUAAUUCAUCGGAGCUGAACUGCCAGAAUCCGCCACAAUGGUAGCAUUGAAUAAAAGGAGGGUGCACUCUGUUUUAUACAUAGUAGGCAGCGCUCAAAGGCUUCUCUCAUCCAGGAUGAAAUAAGUUUCACAUAUGGAAGAAAGAUAUAGGCACGUGUCAUGUAAUUCGAUGUAAAAUUAAGUCGUACUUUUAGGUUGGAAAAUGACAUAUUCAUUACGUGGAAAGGCAUCUAAGGGCUGAACCUAUUUACCAUGAAACCAAGUGGAGCACAUGUUUCUGCCACCAGCGGAAGCAUAAAAGUGGGCAAAUAAAUGCGUAAUUUGACAUAAACUUGCGCUUACAAGUUGUAGCUGAAAUAUAUGAAGUAAUUUAUUACUUGGAAAGCGUUGCACAUUGAGUGUAACUGCAUGGCGACACAUGCGGAGCAACUUCACUGACACACAUGCAGAUUCAAUGACUACAUGACCUGUGAUACUUCUACAGUGUUGCCUACUAUGUAUGAAAUGGAGCAAAGUCAUCAUUCGGAAUGCCCUUGCGCCCGUGUUUCUGCGAAACUGAUUAAGGUCCCCACAAGAGUAAUCAUGCUUGCAUGAAUGCAGCGGAAACAUUGCAUCAACUUUUAAGGGUGUGACAUCUCAUGUAGGCAUCAAUUGGCCAAAAAGGUCUAUCGAUAGGCACAGAGUUGCCAACAAGGGUGGUUUGAGAUAGAAGCCCUGCAUUUGAGCAGUGCAUGUAAACAAAUGUUUAGGAUCGGGAAACAUGAGAACAGAUUGACUAUGGGAUGGCAACCGCCUGCAUUUGCUGCAGAAUAUGGAAACAAAACUUCAUGACUGAUAGAGCAGGUUGUUGACUAUUUCCUGUCAUGACUGAUAGAGCAGGCUAUUGACGAUUUCCUGUUAUGGCUGAUGGAGCAGGCUGUAGACAAUUUCCUGUAACCAACAGGGUUCCAACAAGUGUGGUCCCAACAGCGGUGGUUUGAGAACAGAUUCACUGUUAUUCACAUGAGAACAGAUUCACUAUGUGAUAGCAAUCGGCUGUGGACGACUUCCUGUCACCAGUGAGGGAGUGUUGAUGCGAGUUUCCAGUACAUGCUAGAAAGCAGUUGUAUCUUUAACAAUGCAUGACAUCUAUGUUGGAAAGUUACUUUUAUUUGCGGCUUGAGCGGGACCAGGAUGCAAUUUAUGAAGAGGCUGAAGCAACAGCACCCGGCUACUUUAUCGACCUCGUAGUGAUUUAGAGACACUGUAACAAAUACUUGGUUAAGGUACAGUAUGGUAUCUAUGAAAUAAACAACGCUAAAAGAAUGGGCAUAGCCACUGUAAAGAACGUAGCUGACGUGCGUGUGCUUUUGGUGCGUUUCACAACCCACGACCAUUUGUGUGGGAUGUGUGAUCAGGAAAAUGAGGCCUGUACAAUGUAAGGAUUCCUUCUGCUAGAUUCUAUUCCUUUAUCAUACAUUGCUCUCACAUGGCCUAUAGGGCUUAAAGUGAAUGGGGAGCCACUUUCGAGGUUCGAAAAGGAAAAUACCAUUUUGCCACUUUCCGAGCGCAUAUGCAAGUGUCCCUGCCAGACAGUAGUAGUCCUCGCAGCUGUGCUGCUGAAAUUUUAGUGAAAAGCAAUAUUGAGGGAAAUGCCGAAGAGAAUGGCAUCUGUACAUUUCUUCAGUGAAUUUAAGGACCAUCAGGUCUGUUCACCCUUUCAAACCCACUCCCAUUGUAAAAUAUUUUUAUUUUGACCUCCCUGCCUUUCCAUCUCAUGGUUUCGUCACGGUACAAACAUUACGCACUUUUUUUUUCCGUAGUUGCCCUCCAGCCCACAAAGUACUAUUAGCUAUGGACUUCUACCAGCAUGCUUUGCAUCAGCGAUGCCAUGGUGAAACUUGUGGUGAAAUCAGUCAAUUGGAAUACCAUCAUUACAUUAUCUCCUCCUUAGGUUUGCUGAAAGUGAUAACUUUCAUGCGUGUCACUAAGUGGCAGUAGCUUGAUGGAUUGCAAGAUGCACGUUCAUGUGAACAGCGACACCGGUGAAAAAGCGAUACAGCAGGAGCAGGUCACUAUGAUACACUUCUACCGUAUUCGUGUACAGCAUAUAUUAAACAUUCUUUGGAAGUGACAUCAAAAGGUUGGGCGUUUCGUGCAUGUGUUCUGAGGUGACAGGUCUUUCUGUAUUAUUUAUUUAUUUAUUUAGAAAACACCUUACAGGCCCUGUCGGGCAUUGAGUAAGGGGGGGCAAUGUAACAAUGAGCUGUUGAGUACAAUGGAAACAACUCAAAAAAUCUACAACUGUCCAGUGGCUGAACUAAAACACAAAACAAAGCACAGAAUGCCCAAGCAUAACAGCAAAUAGGGAGAUUAAGCAAAAAGCGCGCACAGAUGUUCACGGAAUAUUUUACGAUUGGUUAUCGAGACAAUUUCAUCGGGAAGACCAUUCCAGUGAGAUAUGGCACUAGGUACAGCAGAUAAAUUGAAAGCAGCAGUUUUACCAAAAAUGCGCUUGAAGCUAAGAUGAUUAUUGCAUCAAACAAAUUUUCUCUACAGUCAUUGCAAUUAGCAGAAUUAUUUUUGUAGUAGGAUUAGAGCUGCCACUGGAAGAGGCAAUUACUAAACGAAGGGCAGAUAUUGAACCAGAGUUUCAGCCUUAGUUUCAUGAGCAGGAAAUUCUCAGGAUUCAGGUGCUCGUUUUGCACAUGACCGAAACUUAGGCGUAGGCCUACAUGUUUCUUUUGACAGCAUUUCACACACUAGAAGCCAUGGCAUGACAUUUCUUGCUCCCUUGGCAGCAUUAUGUAGAGCUAUGAGGCUAGUUUGAUUCACUCAUUGCAUGUGCCGCAGUAGUAUGUGGGGCACUGUACCACAACCUUGAUUAUUCGUGCAGUAGUGCACUCCCUGCUUGUUUUUUUAAUUGUGGCAUGGGUCAGGCAUGGAUGUCAUUGCGCGGGGAUUUCUGAGGUGGUGCAGCCAGUUUGCAGAGUUGCAGCUGACGUUUGCCGAGGUCACAGCGAAUGCUGCCACAAUGUUUCCAAAGGUCAGGCGAAAGCUUUCUGAAACCUUGUAGCAACGUUUCCCACAUAGCCAGAAUUGUCCGUGGCACUUGUUGGGCACUGCGAACUGUUGCGCUUUGAAGGGCUCAUUGAUUUAUACAUGAUGUCGGAUUGAGCAAGCAUAAUUUCAUGGGUGCAGCACCAUGCUAAACUUUAAAGGAUGGACGGAAAGCACAACGUAGUUGUGUAAGCUGAACCCGCAAUGAAGGUCUCGCACAUUUCCGAUCGCUGCACGAUUAGGUCAAGCAGGUGACAUGGCCUGCCUUUCAGUGUUCAAUUUAGAGCAGGCACUUGAAACAAGCUGUACUGGCACCCUCAGAGAUGCACCACCACCGUUUGGACUUUUCAGGAACGGGGCUGGAAAUCGCAUGUGAAUCAAGCAUGUUCGUAUGUACGAGGGGUACGGGUUUUUAAUGAGUACCAACACAUAUUUUCGAAGUUGUACAAGCUAUACGACGCGUGUAAAAGGAAGGCUCUUCUUUGCAGCUGUGGAGAUUGGGGGAAACCUACAAGGAUUUUAAUUUGAUGCUAAAGUUGGUCUCAAAUUGUCAGAACUGACUUCAUCGACAUUAUCGUGAUGUUAUGACGCAGAGCGAGAUUUGAUGGACGUGUAGAAUUAUGGCUAGAUGUGACGAUGUUUGUCAUAAAAGAAAUAAACUAGUGCUGUGCAUCUUUAUUCUGGCUUGUGCGGCAGGGGUAGGACUCGCAGUACCAAAGAGAUCAGUGUCAUGAUGCAUUGGCCUUAAUGGGUAGCAAAACUGAAACUGGUUUGUAAAAACAAGUCUUAUAGCAAAAAUAAGUGUGUUACACAUGCCAGUAUUUUUUGUAGGGUUUAGAGGGCUUGGGCAUUCAUUUAAUGCGAAAGAAAAGCCGAAAAUGUCAUUUUAGCGGUCCUGCGACGCUCCGGAACUCUAGUAAUGAUUUUUGAAUUUCACAUAAUCACUUACUGUUCUUAAUUAAGAAGGCACAGCAUCAUGCCAUUCUUGAAAAGUUUUAUGCAAAAUUGUUAGAGUCUGCAUCUCCAUCUCUGCAAGGUGUAUAAGUAGAUCUACACUUCGAUUAGCACUUGCGAUGUACUGUGCCGAUAGUUUCUCGCGCCACCUCCGUAAAGCAUGCGUGGCUGCUGCGAUAGCCGACUGACAAGGCUAACACCCGUUAUUACAAAGCACUGCAUAUCUGUUUACUGUUGUACCAAGCAAAUGUAUUUCUUCACGGUAUAGGUAGCCAAGGAUUAGUUUUAAACCACUGGUCUCUGCUGUAAUGUUCAUGUAUUGUCUUCACAAAACAUUUCCUUGGACAGCGAUCCCGUGUUUAGCUGAAAUGGAUAAGCAAAAACACCCGUGUACUUAGAUUUAGGUGCACAUUAAAGAACCCCAGCUGGUCCAAAUUUCCGGAGUCCCCCACUACGGUGUGCCUCAUAAUCAGAUCGUGGUUUUGUCACAUAAAACCCCAUUAUUUAAUUUUUUUUAAAUAAUCGGCAAUUAAAAAGUAGUGGAGCUACUGAAUGUUCCUCUUUUGUGGGAUUGAAGUAGACCUCUACGUGUAACAUUUUAUUGAGGGCAAAGGAGGAUUCUCUAAUGCUAGGCAUUUUGGUCACCCCUUCAGAAUAAUAUAUUUUCUUAGUUUUGAGACCUGUCAAAUCGUUUGAGCUUGUAGUUUCUGCAUCAUUGGUAAUUAAUUUUGCUGUCUUGGAACAAUCUUUGUGGUGUCAGAAGAGUUGGAGGGUUGAAGAGGUGAUAAAUGAGGAUAAUUGUUUGCCAUAAACUGAAUAUUGAAUGACAGAUUAGGUGCAAGAAACUUAAGAGUACUCGCCCAAAAUUUUUGUCCUUCCCUCCUCCGCCCCCCCCCCCCCUUUUUUUUAUAGCUGCCGUACCUGUAAAUAUAUUAUGCCUGAAUUUGAAACAAAUUGUGACCAAAUAAAGAAACAAAAUAAAAAUAUGCCAGUUGGAUUGCAGCUUAGGCGUGUUGAGCAGGUCUCACCUACACAUCACGGAUACUAUUGGAGGUGGUGGCUACAUGGUAUCACAUGGCACUGGCACUGUGAUUGUCUCACGCACUCGAUAGAGGAUAAUAGGUUAGAUAAGGUGAAAAGGGGUGCACUGCUUUCGAGAGAUGUGACAGCAAGACUAGUCUUCUUGGCUGGACUUGUGUAAUGGUUCGAUUCCAAUAUUAUUUUUUGUUCUUUGCCAGCGGUUUGAGUGGAACACCAUUCACAUCGCCGGGAUCAGCUGACCGCGAAUGGUCGAUUUUUAAAUAAUAUGAUUGGGUGGUACGAGUCCUUGCAUUGUACUGGCCCUUGUGUCGAGUAUGGAGAAGUCGGAAUGCACCUGGAAAGAGUAGUUGGUCCAGCUUUGGCAACGUGGUCGUGAUGUAGCUUGCGACCGCGGCACCAGGCUGACUGACGCACGUCAGCAGUUUGGACUGGUUGCAUUGAAAUAUGCAAUUAUUUGGUGUGUAUUCGAGCAGCUGAGGCCCCAGGCCAUGGUUGAGAAAUUCGCAGCUUUGUGUGAAAAAGACAACAAAAUUUCUGCCUGCACCCCCUUGAAGGGAUACACUGGUACGUCAGUGUCACGUCAUGGAUGUCGAGAGUAUUUUUCCGUAUUGGAGCAAUGUUGGCUGAGUGAAUGUUCUCGAACCUCAUCAUGUUCAGUCUUUGACUCCUUUGCAACACAAUGUAGUCCACCUUAAACAAUAAGGAGUUACCUAGGCACUAACAGACACAGUUGGAAUCCAGGAAAGUACUUGAAGCUGGUGCAGGAAUUUCAAAGGCGGGGUCCGUCCUUCCAUCUUGCGCUCUUUCUGGCUUAUCAAGCAUCUUCUCAUGGCUAGAGUAGUGUUUCUGCUAUUGUAGAAAGCUAAUUUAUAAUACAAGUGAAAUGAUUUUUCUGUAUUGUGUUCAUUUAAAUUAAACCCAGAACAAUGUUCGAAGCCAGAAGACUGAAAAGUUUAGACAAAUCGAGUUUAGACAUUUUGUGUAAAUUUUUGCAUUGCAUGCAAAAUUUUUGCGCUGUUCAUAUGUGAGGUGAGCUGGAAAUAUUCCAGAUGCUCACAUAAUUUGCAGAGGAGUAUGUAUGCCUUGCAUCACGUGGCCGAGGUCGGAGACCGCUGCGCAAUUUCAAGGCUAUGAGACAGCAGAUAACCAUCUAUGGGGCGGUCGUCCCAUCUGUGCAAUUUUACUUGUAAUUUUCCACUAGCCUGCCUGCAUUUGCACUUGUUUGCUCGGCUUGUUUGGUAUGUCAUCACAUUUCUGGCAGUAAAGUGAGGAAUUCGAGUUUAUUGCAUUUUGUUGUCGCUAAAAAGGGGGGGGGGGGGGAGUCGGUCCUAAGUUUGCAGUAUUGCUUUGAGUUCCCCUUUGAGACAUGCAUUGCAUAGCAUGUUUAUUAGUUGGUUAUGCAAUCAUUGGAAUCUGAAUAUCUGAUUUCAGUCCCAGAAAACUACAGACACCCGUGAUGGUUGUUUGGUGCAUUUAAAUGCUUCCAUAUUCAAAGAAACCAUAUGUUCCAAAACUUCCAUAUGCAAUAAACCAAUGACAUAUGGGAACAUGCAUAUUUUAUGUAGGAUGCUAUGCGUUUCACAUAGGAUUUUUAGCUAUGGGAUUUUUCAGUGCAGUUGGGCUGUGACUGUUGUCAGAAGCAUUGGUAGCUAACUGCCUAUGAGGAAUCUAUGAGGAAUUUAUUUGCUCAGGAUACCUUUGGAUGUCAUCACUGCAAGUUGGAGAGCCCUUUAUAUAUGCCGUUUGUUGCGUUAAACACAACAGUGGUUCCUUUAAUGAUAUAUGAGCCUGUAGGCGUAAUGGGCCAUUAUUGUCUUUAUAACGCCCCGUGCUUGAUUGGGUCCAAAGGUUCUCAUCCACUUGCGAAUACUUUAGUUUUUCGGUCACCUGAAAGCAAAUAGGGUCUCAUUUGCUCCCGAAGCUUCGUUUAUUUAUUUUACCCUCAAGCGCACAGAGCUUUACUGAGGGGAGUGGGGUACAUAAAUAAUAAACAUAAUAUCAAAUGUAAUAACAUCUACAAUACACAGGAGCAGGCAAUGUUAGGCUAUACAACGAAAAGUUUGAAGGUACGAUGCGAAGAACCGUGUACAAAAAGGAGGGGGGGGGGGGAGCAGCACUUAAUGUGUCAUCAAAUUGUGUAUGGUGGCACAAAAUAGGCCAGUGUGCCAGUGUCCGAAAUGGAAACAGUAUUGGGGAGUAGGUGGUUCCACUCAUUUGACGUGCGUGGGAAGAAAGAAUAAAAAAAAGUGCUAGGUGCGGCAAUCAGUAACGUGUGCCUUGUGGUGAUGUGAUCUAAGCAUACCGAACGAUAAGAUGGGGUCGUAACGAACUGGGUUUUUCAAAACUGAAUGAUGGUAUAUCUUACGGAAAAGCUUAAGACGACAUGCUUUGCGACGUGAAACAAGUGACUGUAAGGAAAGGGUGCGUUUCAUCGACGUGAUACUGCUAGUGCGAUUGAAAGGCGUUCCAAAUGGAGCGUGUGUGUUCAAGUUCUGAGCGCACUAGUGUUUUAUAAUUUGUUAGUUUCACACUUACAGGAGCUCUACUAAAGUUAAGUAGUAGGUACGCUAGCAUACGGUUACCAUUGUUAACGUAGGUAAUGUGAUGUUUCCAGCUUAGAUCAGAUGCUAUAUGAAUUCCCAAGUAUUUCUAAGAAUCAAGAUUGUUAUGAAGAUUUGUUAUCGAGAUUCCCAUUUUUAUGAGGUUUCAGACGGAUAACAUAUGGAGUCUGUCCUUGCACAAGUUAUAAUCAACGUGUCAUUAAUAUUUGUUAGUUUUUUAGCUGAGGGAAAGUUCAAUCCGCCAGUUGCGUCUAAAGCGAGGUUUUGAUGAACACUCUCUUCUCCGCCACAAUUCUAUACUUAUUGAGCGUUAUACGCCAAGCUAGAAGCGCGGGUGAAACUUGUAGCAGUGAAAGAGCAGCACCAGGAGAUACGUGGAAGUUUGUCUCGCAACGUGCGAAGUACUUCUUUUUUCUUCUCUAUGCACAGAUCGUGACAGAAUUUGAACUCGCGAUCUAUACUGCUAAUUGGGCGAUGUGCGUAAUCACGUAAGCUAACCCUAAUUGCCCACUGAUGGCCGAUCUCCCGCUAGUAUACAGCGCUCUCGAGUCUAAGGGGCGCGCGUUUUGAAAGCGUGGGAGGAUGAGAGGAACGCGGGAGUGUGACUUAAGUGAUGGCACCAGUCGUCCACGAUUCCAUCCCGCCGCCGCCAUCUUGGUCAGACGACAUGUGCAGAGAAGCUCGCUUGCGGAUUUUGCGUGGCUUCUGCAUAAAAUACGUUUAUGACGAUGAUUUAUUGGCAUCCCCUUUGAAGCGGGGCGCGGUUACAACGAAUCAUCACCUAGCCUGCCUAAGUUACUCGGAUGUACUAUAAUACAUGUUUGUUUGUUUGUUUUUUUUUUUUUUUCGUUCUACGCCGUGCACAGGCUUCGUUGUACACUUCAGCAAGCGCCACUGCUGCCGUUUCACAACGAAGCCCGCACAAAACUGCGCGCGCGCUGUCGCCUCGUGACGACGCUGAUUGGUUGAUGCGCAGUGGCACGUGGUCAUUGCGUCAGACACGCUGCGGUUCGUUGCGCUCGUCCCAGUAUACAUUGCUGCUGCCGCGUCGCGGUGUGUGACGUGGCACACCGGCAGAGUCGUGCACGCCGGAUGUAGAGAUAAAAACGUGAAGAGGCGCGAGAUAACGACCGCGCAUGACGCGAACUUUCGACGGAUGAUCGAGAAUUAUGAUCGACUGUCGAUAAAUGUAUGAAAUUCACGUAAUUUUAUGCCCAGGUGCCUGCAGGCUCCGUUAAGGGCAAGUCAAGAUGGUAGAAUGACUUUGUGCACUUUAUGAUGAGUCACCGUAAUUACAGAGUGAUUAAGUAUCCUAAUUAGAGGAACGGCAAAAAUAAGUGACGUACACAAAUGUGUACAGCGUGACUGAAGGGGAUUUGUAAUGGCGACAAUGAUUGGAUGAAACGGCGCACACCAGGGCGCCGUAAUUCCACUUGAGACAAGCUUCCGGACGUGGGUUCGGUAAAAAAAAAGGGGGGGGGAUACUGUACCGUGUAGUUCACCAUACUAGCCCCGUGUCGGGUAUAACGUCGGUCCUUGAAACACGUACGCGCUCUGUGCAUCCGUUCUUUUUCGCCCGUGGCCUCUCAACAGCAUUUCGUUAUCGCUCUAAUCCGUUUACCCUGCUCCUAAUGGAGAAUUAAUCUCCCCGCCUAUUUUAUCUUUAGUGCAAAGCGGGUUUGCCCAGAUAUCUACGCGGACACAACACGCUUAUUACCUUAGUUUUCCUUCAGCCCGCUAAGUACUAUUAGCGACGAGCUUUGCGGCAGCCUAGUGGGUAACUCGUAGUGAAAACCGGAUGUGUUGACACCGUAGGUUAUUCUUCCUCGUCGGUGGUCGCGCUACCCUUAUUUCGCCGGCUACGGAUUCGUAACCAUCCAACUGGCCCCAAAAUGUCAACCUUGCAAGAGCGGCAAUUUCUUGCCGCGCAGCUGGUGUUGGUGGCCUGCACGAGACUCUCGCUCUGUGUUACAUACAGCCCGUGCAGCGCGCCUCGCACUUGUUCUGAUGAAUCGCGUUUUCUUUUUUUUUUUUCUCCCUCCUACCUCCUUCCCUCCUCCUCGUGAGCCUCGAAUAGAUCGCAGCUGCAGCGUUAUGUAUCCCCCCCUCCUUCUCAUCGCGCACGCUCUCUCUCUCUCGGAUCAAGUGCGCUCCAAAGUCUGCAUAUGUCGGGUUUGUACAGCUAGGCGGUGUUGGUUUUGUAGUUUUGUACCGUGCACGUGCUUUGGAGAGGGUUGCUGGAUGACGGCCACGAAUGCGGGCUCUGCACACGGGAACGCGACCGUGUGCCGUUGUUGCGCUGGCUAUCUGUUGUUUCCGGCAUCGCCGCUACCGUGAGGUUCCGCGUCGCCAGGCGUCAACCUUGGUCCUCCCCCGCACCCCCCACCCUUUCCCCCCCUCCUCCUUCUAUGCUGGUAGCAGCCACUACACCCGGGGACAACUUUCUGCGGAGCGGCGAAGCCGAAGCACGCAUCAUUUUUUUUUUUCUCUUUUACUGCGCAUCUCCAUGUAGGCAACUGGAAGCUACGUAGCGUUAAACAACCCGUACCAAUAAUUUAAAAUUUUGCGUUCAACGUGUCUGUUCUUUUGUUUUCUAUGCGCAGAGUUUCCUACAAAAAUUUAACUAAAGGGAGCUCUGGGGCUGCUACGACAAAGAGGAGGGUGGGGGAGAAAUUGAUAGGGCAGGGUCCGUUCAGGCAUAGGUUCACAUGGAGGUUUUAAGGAACAGGGAAGAGAUUAAGGAGACUUGUAGAAUGCUAGACUGAUAAGUAUGUAUAUGUUACUUGAUUAGCUCCAGCAAGCAAUUGGUUACUGCUUCGAAGUAGUGAAUCAUCGUUCAGCCACACCAUAGCAACAACUAGCACGUGCGUGCUAUCUAAUAUUCCGAAAAAAUCAUUCUUCUGUACGCCCCCCCCCCCUCCUCUCCCAAGCCCUUAUGCGCGCUGCAUAAUGUAUCGUCGCGAAUUGUUGUAUUAACGAUGCAAUAUUUUUGGCCGAACGUGACCAAUUUACAAAGAUACAAAUCCGUUUGAAGCCAGAAUGACGAAGUGCAAGCCAAAUGCCAGUGACGCAUGUGGAACUGCCGUGGUUGCAGCUCAUGUGGACACUGCUCGCGACGGCUGCAUUUCGAUAGAAGCGACAUGAUGUAUAUAUAUAUAUAUAUAUAUAUAUAUAUAUAUAUAUAUAUAUAUAUAAACGCAAAACUAAAAAAGAAAGCUGGUGUACUCAGAUUUAGGUGCACGUUAAUGUGAACUCCAGGUGGUCGAAAUUAAUUCGGAGCCCUCAACUGUGGCGUGCCUCAUAAUCGGAUCGUGAUUUUCGCACGUAGCACCCGAGUUUAAAUUGCCUUUUCUACCAUUGGUACGAAAGGGCGUUGUAUUUUACUGCGGCUCUUGCUCUUGGGUUUCGCCAGGGACGCGCAGCUUCUAGGACGGCUCUGAAUACUCCGCCCUCUCCCCUUCCUAUUCCACGUAAUAGGCCUUCGAACCAUCCCCCUCAUCCCUUUUCCUCCGAGGAGAGCUUGGCCCAAAACACACGCAUGUCACUGUCAGGGAAAGAGGGAAGCACAGUGCCGACCCCCCCUCCGUCUCCGACGUGGCAGUUUGGGCUGAGGUCAGGUGAAGAACCGGACCUGUUGGUGACUAACUGUUUGUCAUUAUUCAUCACGCAGUUGGAGGUGGCCCUGACGAGGACGUCGGCUCGUUAACCAUUGCCGAGUUCUCCGUGAGAGACUGGGUUUCGAGGAGUAAACGGCCGAUCACAGAACCCUUCAGUAUGCGUGCAAGCACUGUAUAGUUUGAUGAAAGCCGUUACCGUUGGUUGAUCUCCCGAUGAGCGCGCGAGAGACUGAAAUAUACUCGGUGAACGAAUAACAGCGCGUACUGGCGUGGACGAGCCGUCCACGCUGACUUGCUGCUUUUGGGAAGCGUAGGAAAUAUAUAAGCAUACACGUGACACACGAAAAUAAAGAAACGGAUACGCCAGUCACGUGCCCGCGUCGGUCGCGUAAUCGGAACUGUCGUUUCCUCCAAACAUAAACACACCAAGAAACAAUUUCUCUUUUUUCGGUCAGCGUCAGCGACGCUAUGCUUGCACGUGCUCCAUCCAGCUUAUCUAUAUUUGUUCACUAUGAAUCGGAACCAACUAGCCUUGACUGACUGAAAUACGGCCGUCGAGUCCGUGUAAAUACUAGCGUGUCGGAUCGAGUCAAUUCGACGAACUGCGACGGAUGGCUUGGGGCUCGCUCCGCGACCGGCUUCGAGAAUGGCGUGCGUCAGCAUGCACAGGCCGGUCUUCAACGAACCUAUCUGACGGGGAAGGGUGGUGGGUAGAAAAGGGUGUGAUAUCUUUUCUAAAGAAACCCCCUUCGAAUCGACUUGCCGUCCCAUCUCCCCACCCCCACGCACGUUUCAUCUCUCCCCCCAUUCUCAACCCCGUCCUCCCUCUACCUUUGUUCAUCGGUUCGGAGAUAGGAACGGGAGAGGAGACCAUGUCACAAUUUUCUCCUUGGUGCAUGAUUCGGUGUCUUUUGUGCGCUUCACUGCAGAGAUCUUUCCUCGGAAUGCCGUGUCUCUCCGUCACGCGUUGUCCGCGCUGAUUGGACAGCCACCAGAAGCGCCACCUAUUUUUGAUAGCACAGGGCUUGUUUGGCAGAAAAAAAAAAAAAAGAAAUUGGGAAAGCCCGAGUCGCUGUUGGGCCAGUCAAGCAGUCGCUCGCUGUCCGUUGGAGAGGACCACGUGCAGUUGAGUCUUGUUAGCAGCGCGUGCGACUGCUUCUGUACUGACAGCUCCGAACGCCGACGCACCGUUCGAGAGAGCGAGAACGUGGUGUUUGUACUAGCUCGAAAUGGCGCGCAAGAAUCGAAGGACCAGGCAGCAAGAGAACUCGGCGCCUUCGUCGUCAUCGGCUUCGCCCGUAGAAACCGCCGAGGCAUCCAAAAGUAAGGACCGACUGUUGGACUUUUUUUUUUUUUUGUUUCUUAAGCAUAUUUUUUUUUCUCCUCUAGCAUUAUUCAUUUCCUGUAGUUAGUGUGUGCUGCGACGCGCCGUGAUUCUCCUUCUAACCGCUCGCACGUGGCUUUUCGCACAAUGGCAGGAUGGACGCCGCCAUUUUGCGUCGUAUUCACCGGACUGUGUCAGGCACGUCCGCGUGGCACUAGCAAACGACGGGCCGGCUAGUGCACUAGCCGGCCCGUCGACGAAUUAGUUCAAAACUUUACACGGUGGUUUCUGUGUCUCGCGUCAUUGUUCCCACAGGAUGACUCUGCACCAGGAGAUAGAGAUUACGCUUUUGUUGCGAUUUUUAGUCUGCCGGGCGUCAGCAUCGCAGUUGACGUGCACGUAAUGAGUAACUGGAAUAAGUUCACAGACGGGGCACUCAGUCAUCACUGCAUUCGUCUUGAUCCCUUCGUUGAGUGAAUGGCCGACGAGCGUUUAGCUGUGCCCCGACAGUUCUUGGGCUUUUGCUUGAAGCGUGGGCUUCGCCGUUCUGUGCGCAAUACCAUUUCGUGUCUGCUUUCGGCGUCAUAUUGCCCUGUCAUGUCUGUAUGGCCCGUAUUUCUUCUGGCUCUACGCUGUACGUCAGUUGUCCGCUUGACAAAUUUUGCGUGGUGUUUGUUCUUUAGAAAUGGCGGGAACGUACCGCACCGUACCGAAGAGUGGCAAUGCUGUUAAUUCACUCGUUUCGUGACUUCGUCGGAUCUGCCUCCUCCUCUCUACCAUUCAUUUCUGUCUCCCCGCUGGACUGUUGCACGUUAGUAAAGCGCUGCAGUUUCUGCAGUGCUUUUGCGAGGGGGGGGGGGUCACGGAUAAUUACAGCUGUCAAGAUGGUACUGUGCCGACGCACAGGGAGCUCCAGAGGGCAUUGUGACGACCAUCGAAGGGUAGCUCCAAACGAGUUUCUCGCUUCGCCUUUCGUCUCUGUGCCACGCUGCUUCCACGUAUAUGCGCGCUCUGAACCACCUCCCGACGCGGCGUGCAAGACAGCAGCAGUGGCCAAGUCGAAGAAAGAGGCAAAGCUGGCUUCGCUUAAAAGUUGAUGGCGCUCAUGUUCUGCACACUGUUGACAAUGUUAAGGUCGCAUUCUAGAGCGGAUGGCCCACUUACCAGGCACAAUCAAAAAGCGAGAUGUAGGGUUGAUGGUCGCACAGCCCGACUAGUGACUCAUAUUGAUACCAAGUGGUUGGCCUAUCAGUAUGCCGUCACCUUACCAGUAUGCCGUGACCCCCAGCACCCCCUUAUUUCUAGUGUUAGACGUGACGAGCGAUAACUGCCUUUGCCCCCCCCCCCCCCCCGCUUUUUUUUUUUCUCUUCCCUUUCUUUCUUUGCUAGACAUCCAGUACAGGAAUGCGACAUGAGCUCUCUUGCCACCGGCGGGCAAACCUAGCACUCUUCAUUCUUCGCGUUGCGUCACAUUUAGAAAUUGGCGAUUUGUAAAAAUCCUGCAGCUGACUGUCCUGCAAAAGGUCUCGCCGUCUUUGAAGCCACUUGCUGCGAAAUGGCGCCCGACCCUCUCCCGUGGGUGGGUUGGAUGACAGGCAGUAGGGGUAGCGGAAUGCUUUUCGAACGGCAAGUUGAGGUAGGGUUUGCGCUGAGGCAGCAACCAGUUCAGGAUUCCGAAAAUAAUAAAGCGCUACCCGACUGCGACGUGGUGCCUUUUGUACUUGCGUAUUCCGCCUAAAAUGUAUGGUGUGGACAGGAGUUCUUGGUUGGCACCAAGUUAUCGAGGGAGGCAGCAAGUUCUUUACCCGCCGUCGACUGGGUUCCCCGUGAACUACAGAAUGGGCGCGUUUUAGGAGCGCGCGACUAUUCGAAUAUUGAAUUUAGUAUAGUCCUGUUCGGGGAUUUGAUCUACGAAUCGAAUUGUCAAUAUUCGUAAAUACGGAUAUUUCUUCGUGUAGUACUGUACAUUCUUCUGCUUCAGGGUUUCCGGUUUGUGGGAACGUUUGCUUCAGAAAAUCCGGUGUAACGUUUUCCAGUCGUGCGAUUACCCUUCGCCAAUCGUGUAAGAUUUGCUGGGGAGGGGCUGUUUGUGUUCGAAACAGUGGCGCGGGUGUCGUACAUUUGCAUUAAUCUCCUGGUUGGGCGUCUGCUUGUCUCAACAUGGCGAUUGCCAUUGGAAAAUCCCGACAUUUCCUGUGUCGCGUAGCAAAGAAAGAAAGAAAAGCGGUUCUCCUUCAGGCGGCGCGUGUCCAGUUGAGCGUUAUUACAGUUGAACCCAGGUAUAUCCGGGUUUCCGCAUAUAACGAAUUAUUGUGUAUAACGAACAUGAGUACAAUCUUUGUAUAAAAUUAUUUUAUAUGUAGAACUUAAUUUUUUUUGUGAUCCCCUUCAGAUUCGAUAUGUCCGGGUCCGACUGUAUGUUAUUCUGGAGCUUUCUUUUACCGACUGUAUUCCAGCGUCGCUGCCAGCCUAACUCGUUUUGCUCCCGAGGUGUAAUGGAAGCCCGAUCAAGAGAAGCGCGGCGCAGCCGCCUUUUCCAUUUCUCUUCUUUCUCUUUGCUUCCUUCUCGAGUCUGCGGGAGCCAUUGGCGCGACCACAGUCGUUGGCAGCGGGGGAAAAAUUGCCAAGUUUUCCUCGUUCCUUGCAGCAAGCCGACGCGCUUGCGUCACGCGUUAAAUCGACGCCCAAUUCCUCGUGGAGUCGGUUCCCGCCUUCGGUGGACCAAGUGUCGCCUCGAGAUGCUUUGGAAGAACGGAGGCGGCUCGUAUGCACGGGCGACUCAUUUUCCGCAUGCGCCCAGAUUUUAACUACCGCCAUUGGUCGACCACUUUUGUGAUGUUUUCAAUACUUUAAGAGGUUGAAGGAGAAACGUUAAAUCCGUUGUGAUUAAGUAAACUCCUAAGGCCAAUUUCGCUCUAAUUUGCCUACGCGCAUAAUUUUUUUUAAACGAGUCUGAACCCUGGAAUUAACGCCGGCAAACUUCAUAGCGCCUUACAGUGCACGGUUGAACGCCUCCGUGCUCAUUGGCUACACCGGUCACACCGUUUUAAAGCUGGCGGAGAGACAGCUCACAACAGAACUGGGGCAUAAUUAUUCCUUCGUAAUACAAGCCAUUUGCAAAAAAAAAAAAGAGAAAAAAAAACUAUCGUACAGUUAGAUUGGGUUGCACGUUAAACGUCGUGUGUCUAUUUCACUGCAGUCUGGACACAUUGUUGCAAUGGAGCUAUAUAGUUCCGGUUUCCUCAAUCGAUAACCGCUUCCAAGAAGCGCACGCGUUUUCCUGCGGAAAGCUGCCCAACUGGUUCUGUAAUUCGCGGGGAAACUUGCUCGUUUUACACAUAAGGCGGCUGUUAGGGGAGCCUGUAAGGGUUAUAAUUCUGCCUGAAUGGUGUAGUUAAGUUUCCUGUUUAAACGUGUGUUCACGCCACUGGUGCACCUGGGGAACUUCGAGCGCGACAGACGGGGACCGUUUUAAAUGACGUAGGGUGCCCCGCCACCUGUUGAAUGCGCCCGAUACGCGCAUUCACAUUUUUUAUAUUUUUUUUUGUGCGCUUAUUCCUUUUCUCUUGUUUCGUUAGUUUUAUUAAACGUGUAUGGCGGCGGGCAGCCGGUUCUCUGGCGCAUCGCGAACUUAGUACCGCCCUGGAGCGUGUUUCUUAAAAAAAAAAAACACACACCAAUUGAGAAAACA